GUUCGGGUUGUGUCGCCAGACGCAUUGCCCGGUAGCUAAGUUCGGGAUCGAUAACCGCUGAAAGCAUCUAAGCGGGAAGCGAGCCUUGAGAUGAGUUCUCCCUGAUACUUAAAGUAUCCUAAAGGGUUGUCGUAGACUACGACGUUGAUAGGCAGGGUGUGUAAGCGUUGUGAGGCGUUGAGCUAACCUGUACUAAUUGCCCGUGAGGCUUAACCAUACAACACCCAAGGGGUUU
rnacentral:rRNA from 1 species